UUCCGAGGCGGUAACAACCAGAUCCACAGGUCGGAGGUUUUUUCGGUCCACUCCACGCCAACGCAGAUGUCGGAGAGGAGAGGGUUUUGCAGAACCCUUCCCAAGAGAUCCCACAACAGGAACCAAGCAGGAGUCUACAGCACGCAACAGCACCAAGAGUCGCGGGCAGGAUCGAGAAAUUGAGCGAAGCUCAUGAGGAAAACAAGAAAUCCUGAGUCUCAGUUUGACAAGGCGACCUCCACGGUUACCCCGUCUCCUGCGUCGCUUCCGCACAUCCAGUGGCAAAGGAAACCUACUAUGAGACGGCUUGGCUUGAGUCAGAGCUACAUUUACCAGAGGAUCACAGACCCACACAGUAAACACAAGAGAGAUAAACAUGUGAACACAGGCGGACAGGGAGUCGCUAUAAGGCUGUCCAAGCAAAUUCACGGCUGUAACAGGAGGCUGAAGAAGAUUGUAACAGAGUCCAACAGUCUGCAGAGGCCACCACAGUCCAUGGUCUACACAUCACAAGGACAAUUUCAACAUGUCUGUGAAGUCUCCUUGCCCUUGUACUCACGCCUUGAUGAACAAACAGAAGAAGGUGAUAUUCCAAUGGACCUGUAAAGGAGAGGCGUCGAUGCCUUACUUUUGAAGAUCAGAGCAGCUGAAGAAAAGCUCUGACUCCAACGUGAGAUGGACACUGUGAUUCAUCACCUCCACCAGCAACACACUGACCUGCAUUCAUCCAUAGAUGACACUCAGGACCCUGGUUCCACAGCUGUUCUUGUUCACAGCAUUAUCCAGUCAGAGAGGAAACUGUAUAAUGCAAUGAUGAUCUUCCAGCGUCAUGUUGCAGUUGUUGCUCCCCCUCACAUGCUUACCUGCCAGAGUUUAACUCCGCCUCUCAGACAGUCAUGUCAUCUGUUCGACGUGUUUUGCUGUACGAUGACAGUCAUCAUGACGUUGAUGAGGAGGGAGAGAAAAAAUGGUUUACUCCUGUAGAUGGCGAUAUUGCACUGUUCAGAGAGCCGACACUGAUGAUGCUGGUCUACUCAACUUACUUUUAGCUUGGGUUGGACUAUAUGAGCCAGCUUCCACUCUGGUUUUCACUGUUAAAUACAGUUGUUUGAUUUCACUUGUAAAAGUUGAAAAAAUAAAUA